UUUAUCGGAGAGUUUGAUCCUGGCUCAGGACGAACGCUGGCGGCGUGCCUAAUACAUGCAAGUCGAGCGGACAGAUGGGAGCUUGCUCCCUGAUGUUAGCGGCGGACGGGUGAGUAACACGUGGGUAACCUGCCUGUAAGACUGGGAUAACUCCGGGAAACCGGGGCUAAUACCGGAURCUUGUUUGAACCGCAUGGUUCAAACAUAAAAGGUGGCUUYGGCUACCACUUACAGAUGGACCCGCGGCGCAUUAGCUAGUUGGUGAGGUAAUGGCUCACCAAGGCAACGAUGCGUAGCCGACCUGAGAGGGUGAUCGGCCACACUGGGACUGAGACACGGCCCAGACUCCUACGGGAGGCAGCAGUAGGGAAUCUUCCGCAAUGGACGAAAGUCUGACGGAGCAACGCCGCGUGAGUGAUGAAGGUUUUCGGAUCGUAAAGCUCUGUUGUUAGGGAAGAACAAGUGCCGUUCAAAUAGGGCGGCACCUUGACGG
rnacentral:rRNA from 1 species